rnacentral:rRNA from 1 species
UACGGAGGGGGCUAGCGUUGUUCGGAAUUACUGGGCGUAAAGCGCAUGUAGGCGGACAUUUAAGUCAGGGGUGAAAUCCCGGGGCUCAACCUCGGAACCGCCUUUGAUACUGGGUGUCUGGAGUGUGGAAGAGGUAAGUGGAAUUCCGAGUGUAGAGGUGAAAUUCGUAGAUAUUCGGAGGAACACCAGUGGCGAAGGCGGCUUACUGGUCCAUUACUGACGCUGAGGUGCGAAAGCGUGGGGAGCAAAC